rnacentral:rRNA from 1 species
GAUGAACGCUGGCGGCGUGCUUAACACAUGCAAGUCGAACGGGAUCCCAGGAGCUUGCUCCUGGGUGAGAGUGGCGAACGGGUGAGUAAUGCGUGACCGACCUGCCCCAUACACCGGAAUAGCUCCUGGAAACGGGUGGUAAUGCCGGAUGCUCCAGUUGACCGCAUGGUCCUCUGGGAAAGCUUUUGCGGUAUGGGAUGGGGUCGCGUCCUAUCAGCUCGAUGGCGGGGUAACGGCCCACCAUGGCUUCGACGGGUAGCCGGCCUGAGAGGGCGACCGGCCACAUUGGGACUGAGAUACGGCCCAGACUCCUACGGGAGGCAGCAGUGGGGAAUAUUGCACAAUGGGCGCAAGCCUGAUGCAGCGACGCCGCGUGCGGGAUGACGGCCUUCGGGUUGUAAACCGCUUUUGACUGGGAGCAAGCCCUUCGGGGUGAGUGUAC